rnacentral:rRNA from 1 species
GGAUAGGGGAGAAAUUCCAAUCGAACCCGGAGAUAGCUGGUUCUCCUCGAAAUAGUUUUAGGACUAGCCUCGUUAUUAGUCUACCGGAGGUAGAGCACUGAAUUUUUGCGGGGGCGUCAAAGCCUACCAAGAGAUAUCAAACUCCGAAUGCCGGCUAGAUGAUUGACGGGAGUCAGACUACACGAGAUAAGUUGGGUAGUCAAAAGGGAAAGAGCCCAGACCUACGGCUAAGGUCCCAAAGUGUGUGUUAAGUGGAAAAGGAUGUGGGAUUUCGAAGACAGCUAGGAUGUUGGCUUAGAAGCAGCCAUACAUUAAAAGAGUGCGUAACAGCUCACUAGUCGAGAGGUCCUGCGCCGAAAAUGUCCGGGGCUAAACACAACACCGAAGCCUGGGAAUGUAGUAAUACAUUGGUAGAGGAGCAUUCUUAGAAGCGUAGAAGCCAUACCGGAAGGAAUGGUGGAGUAAUAAGAAGAGAGAAUGCCGGAAUGAGUAGCGAGAAAGAGGUGAGAAUCCUCUUGGCCGAAUAUCUAAGGUUUCCUGAGUAAAGCUGAUCUACUCAGGGUAAGUCGGGGCCUAAGGCAAGGUCGAAAGACGUAGUCGAUGGAUAACAGGUACAGAUUCCUGUACUACAUAUAAUCAGAACUGUGGGGACACGGAGACUAAAACCGAACCCGGGAGGACAAAAACCGGGGCAAGCGAAGUACCUGUAUGGGAGGAAAAACCACCAUACAAGGGGAAAACGUGAUGCGUACCGAAAAUUAGUAGGGAAGUCGGUUAGGGAGCCGUCAAGAAAAGCCGCUAUUGUGUUAUAUGUACCCGUACCGCAAACCGACACAGGUAGAUGAGGAGAGAAUCCUAAGGCCGGCGGGAGAAGCAUUGUUAAGGAACUCGGCAAAAUGACCCCGUAACUUCGGGAGAAGGGGUGCCACUUUAAUAGAGUGGUCGCAGAAAAAAGGCUCAAGCAACUGUUUAGCAAAAACACAGGUCUAUGCGAAACCGCAAGGUGAAGUAUAUGGGCUGACGCCUGCCCGGUGCCGGAAGGUUAAGAGGAGAAGUCAGGAAACGAAGCUUUGAAUUGAAGCCCCGGUAAACGGCGGCCGUAACUAUAACGGUCCUAAGGUAGCGAAAUUCCUUGUCGGGUAAGUUCCGACCCGCACGAAAGGCGUAAUGAUUUGAGCGCUGUCUCAACAAUGCACCCGGUGAAAUUGAAGUACCAGUGAAGAUGCUGGUUACCUGCGCCAGGACGGAAAGACCCCAUGGAGCUUUACUCCAGUUUGGUACUGGGAUUCGGUAAUACUCGUACAGGAUAGGUGGGAGACUAAGAAGCAUGGACGCCAGUUUAUGCAGAGUCGCCGUUGGGAUACCACCCCUGUAUUGCUGGAUUUCUAACCUGCAUCCGUGAUCCGGAUGGGGGACAAUGCCAGACGGGGAGUUUGACUGGGGCGGUCGCCUCCGAAAGAGUAUCGGAGGCGCUCGAAGGUUCCCUCAGAAUGGUCGGAAACCAUUCAAAGAGUGCAAAGGCAGAAGGGAGCUUGACUGCGACACCGACGGGUGGAGCAGGUACGAAAGUAGGACUUAGUGAUCCGGUGGUAUAAAGUGGGAUUGCCAUCGCUCAACGGAUAAAAGCUACCCUGGGGAUAACAGGCUUAUCACUCCCAAGAGUUCACAUCGACGGAGUGGUUUGGCACCUCGAUGUCGGCUCAUCGCAUCCUGGGGCUGUAGCAGGUCCCAAGGGUUGGGCUGUUCGCCCAUUAAAGCGGUACGCGAGCUGGGUUCAGAACGUCGUGAGACAGUUCGGUCCCUAUCCGGCGCGGGCGUAAGAUAUCUGAGAGGAGCUGUCCUUAGUACGAGAGGACCGGGAUGGACUGACCACUGGUGCACCGGUUGGGGAGCAACCCCAUGGCCGGGUAGCCAAGUCGGGACGGGAUAAACGCUGAAGGCAUCUAAGCGUGAAGCCCCCCUCAAGAUGGGAUAUCUCAUGUGAAAACAGUAAGACCCCUUGAAGACUACGAGGUAGAUAGGGCCAAGAUGUAAGUACAGCAAUGUAUUAAGUUGAUGGUUACUAAUAGGUCGAGGGUUUAACCAA